UCAAGCCUACGGGACGCAGCAGUAAGGGAUAUUGGUCAAUGGGGGAAACCCUGAACCAGCAACGCCGCGUGGAGGAUGAAGGUUUUCGGAUUGUAAACUCCUUUUGUUAGAGAAGAUAAUGACGGUAUCUAACGAAUAAGCACCGGCUAACUCCGUGCCAGCAGCCGCGGUAAUACGGAGGGUGCAAGCGUUACUCGGAAUCACUGGGCGUAAAGAGCGCGUAGGCGGGAUAGCAAGUCAGAUGUGAAAUCCUAUGGCUUAACCAUAGAACUGCAUUUGAAACUGUUAUUCUAGAGUAUGGGAGG
rnacentral:rRNA from 1 species